UACGGAGGGAGCUAGCGUUGUUCGGAAUUACUGGGCGUAAAGCGCGCGUAGGCGGCUUUGUAAGUUAGAGGUGAAAGCCUGGAGCUCAACUCCAGAAUUGCCUUUAAGACUGCAUCGCUUGAAUCCGGGAGAGGUGAGUGGAAUUCCGAGUGUAGAGGUGAAAUUCGUAGAUAUUCGGAAGAACACCAGUGGCGAAGGCGGCUCACUGGACCGGUAUUGACGCUGAGGUGCGAAAGCGUGGGGAGCAAACAGG
rnacentral:rRNA from 1 species